GAUAAACGCUGGCGGCGUGCAUGAGACAUGCAAGUCGAACGGACGAUCGAGGCUUGCUUCGAUCGUUAGUGGCGGACGGCUGAGUAACGCGUAGGUGACCUGCCCCGAAGUGGGGAAUAACUGCCCGAAAGGGUGGCUAAUACCGCAUGUGGUGGUGUGUUCAAUCACACCAGUAAAGCCGCAAGGCGCUUCGGGAGGGGCCUGCGUCCGAUUAGCUCGUUGGUGGGGUAACGGCUCACCAAGGCGACGAUCGGUAGGUGGUCUGAGAGGACGAUCACCCAGACUGGGACUGAGACACGGCCCAGACUCCUACGGGAGGCAGCAGUCGGGAAUUUUGCGCAAUGGACGAAAGUCUGACGCAGCAACGCCGCGUGAGGGAUGAAGGCCUUCGGGUUGUAAACCUCUUUUAUCAGGGAAGAUAAUGACGGUACCUGAUGAAUAAGUCACGGCUAACUACGUGC
rnacentral:rRNA from 1 species